UGGCUCUGGGAUUCCAGCCUGGACUUCUGUAGGCACUGCGCUGGUUCCCCGGCUCCUUCCCUCACUGUACUACCCCGCGCUCCGAGCUCAGCCUCUGCUCUGAAGAAAACUGGUUUCCUACUGACCUUGGGAUAAAUGAGAAGCCUUUGACCUGAAUGAAGGAGUCCACAGCACCGCAGGAGGAACCACAUGCCUGGUACUCCAUAGAUGCUGAGCUGGCAGGAUGUCCAGAGCUCCGAGUUCUGCUAAUCUCCUCCUGUGGAACCAGCCAGUUUUGGCUCUAAGUCAAGCGACACCAGCUACUACUGUAAACGCUGCUCCUAUUCUUAACAAUGAUUUCUUCCAUGGCUACUUCCUAUUCUUUCCCCUAAGAGGAGGGAUCCAAAGAAGAUAAAUGCCACAGCAACCAGCCGAAAGGGACCAGCAGAAACCAUCAAAAAGGACAACAGUCAAUGUGAUGACAGAGUGGUUGCCAGCAUCAUUUAAUGAUUGGGGGAAGCAGCCAAAGAUGAUCACUCAAGUUCAUAACUCCAAAGCAAACUCCAACAAGCGAAGCUACUGAGGAAGGGUCAAAGGCCUUGAUACUUACUGUGUGCAUUAUGUAUAUGCACUGUGCCAUGCAUCAGGCCGGGGUAGAUGUGACUGCCCCCCUCCAGCUGCUUUUCUUACAUUUCUGGUGGUGACUCUAGCUUUAACAGACUAGGCCCCACUUGCUUCUCAGUCCUAGGACAUGCUACCCUUCAUUUUAGACUUGCUGAAGCUGAAGUCUGGGAAGAUAAAAUUUCUGCUUUGUUGAGGGCACUAUAAACCUAAGAUACCAAUUCAGACAAAUAUUUAGAGAAAAACUGACUAAUUUUCUAAUUUCUGAGUUUAAGAUUGAGAAAAAUAAUACAGUUGUUUCUCCUCUUCUUUCUGAAAUCCCCCACUCAGCCCA